rnacentral:sRNA from 1 species
UUUUGCAGCCACUUUUU